rnacentral:lncRNA from 1 species
AGGAACUUCAUAACUAUACUUUCAUUUUCCCCAAAUACUCCUCUUACUCCCUAUGACAGAAACAAACAGAAAAGUUUUAGGUUCUUGUGACAUUGAGCUACAAGGAUUUGACUCCUGAGUCUCAAAAGGACACCAAGUACUGCCAAAUCUCAAACUCUGACAGCAAUUAAAGCCUCAUCUGCAGGCCCUGUAGAAGAUGCCAAUCAAAAUAAACUGUGUUCCUGAGACACAGGGGCAGAAAUUAAAGCUAUUCAACUCCUCAAGGCCAAGGGAUUAUCAUGGAAGAGGUGGGCAGGCGAGAAUGU